rfam:Octopus bimaculoides Scaffold40646_contig_8, whole genome shotgun sequence.
CAGCUCAUCAAAGGACUGUGAUAUAUAGAUAUUUGAACGUCUCACAGCCAGCUUUGAUGAGCUGGC